rnacentral:rRNA from 1 species
GUGCCAGACUCCUACGGGAGGCAGCAGUGGGGGAUAUUGCACAAUGGGGGAAACCCUGAUGCAGCGACGCCGCGUGUGGGAAGACGGUCCUCUGGAUUGUAAACCACUGUCCCCAGGGACGAAAAUGACGGUACCUGGGGAGGAAGCUCCGGCUAACUACGUGCCAGCAGCCGCGGUAAUACGGAGGAUGCGAGCGUUAUCCGGAUUUAUUGGGUUUAAAGGGUGCGUAGGCGGCAUUAUAAGUUAGUGGUAAAAUAGUGGGGCUUCACCUCACUACGCCAUUAAUACUGUAGAGCUAGAGAACAGACGAGGUAGGCGGAAUAAGUUAAGUAGCGGUGAAAUGCAUAGAUAUAACUUAGAACACCGAUAGCGAAGGCAGCUUACCAGACUGAGUCUGACGCUGAUGCACGAGAGCAUGGGUAGCGAACAGGAUUAGAUACCCGUGUAC